rnacentral:rRNA from 1 species
GAUGAACGCUGGCGGCGUGCCUAAUACAUGCAAGUCGAGCGAACGGACGAGAAGCUUGCUUCUCUGAUGUUAGCGGCGGACGGGUGAGUAACACGUGGAUAACCUACCUAUAAGACUGGGAUAACUUCGGGAAACCGGAGCUAAUACCGGAUGAUAUUUUGAACCGCAUGGUUCAAAAGUGAAAGACGGUCUUGCUGUCACUUAUAGAUGGAUCCGCGCUGCAUUAGCUAGUUGGUAAGGUAACGGCUUACCAAGGCAACGAUGCAUAGCCGACCUGAGAGGGUGAUCGGCCACACUGGAACUGAGACACGGUUCAGACUCCUACGGGAGGCAGCAGUAGGGAAUCUUCCGCAAUGGGCGAAAGCCUGACGGAGCAACGCCGCGUGAGUGAUGAAGGUCUUCGGAUCGUAAAACUCUGUCAUUAGGGAAGAACAUAUGUGUAAGUAACUGUGCACAUCUUGACGGUACCUAAUCAGAAAGCCACGGCUAACUACGUG